rnacentral:rRNA from 1 species
AAUGAACGUUGGCGGCGUGGAUUAGGCAUGCAAGUCGAGCGAGAACCCGCAAGGGGGACAGCGGCAAACGGGGUAGGAAGGCGUAGGAACGUACCCUCGGGUCGGGGAUAGCCAUCCGAAAGGAUGGGUAAUACCCGAUAACGUCGAGAGACCAAAGGUGUGAUUCCACCUGGGGAGCGGCCUGCGUAGUAUUAGCUUGUUGGUGAGGUAAAAGUUUACCAAGGCGACGAUGCUUAGGGGGUGUGAGAGCAUGACCCCCACCACUGGGACUGAGAUACUGCCCAGACACCUACGGGUGGCUGCAGUCGAGAAUCUUCGGCAAUGGGGGCAACCCUGACCGAGCGACGCCGCGUGGGAUUGAAGGCCCUUGGGUUGUAAACCACUGUCAGAGGGGAUGAAGUGCGCGGGGGUUCUCCCCCGCGUUUGACAUAGCCUCAGAGGAAGCACGGGCUAAGUUCGUGCCAGCAGCCGCGGUAAAAC